UGACAAGUGCUCGGUUGGUCUGUCCUGUC
rnacentral:piRNA from 1 species